rnacentral:rRNA from 1 species
CAGCCGCCGCGGUAAUACGUAGGUGGCAAGCGUUGUCCGGAAUUAUUGGGCGUAAAGGGCUCGCAGGCGGUUUCUUAAGUCUGAUGUGAAAGCCCCCGGCUUAACCGGGGAGGGUCAUUGGAAACUGGGAAACUUGAGUGCAGAAGAGGAGAGUGGAAUUCCACGUGUAGCGGUGAAAUGCGUAGAGAUGUGGAGGAACACCAGUGGCGAAGGCGACUCUCUGGUCUGUAACUGACGCUGAGGAGCGAAAGCGUGGGGAGCGAACAGGAUUAGAUACCCCAGUAGUCCCUGUCUCUUAUAA